GAUCCGAGGAGGACACCUUGAAGGAUGUAGGCUUCAAGUUCCUUGAUGGUAGAGGCACGUAGGGUGCGAGGACAAUACAUAGGACGUGGUGCACAGGAGGAUCCACUUUGGCGGCAGUGGAUGCGGAUGUGUUGGAUGCAUGAACAUGGAGUACUAGGAGACAACAGGAUAUUGGAGGGUGUCAAGAGACAAGAAUUGUGCAGA
rnacentral:lncRNA from 1 species